UGGGGAAUAUUGGACAAUGGGCGAAAGCCUGAUCCAGCCAUGCCGCGUGUGUGAAGAAGGUCUUCGGAUUGUAAAGCACUUUAAGUUGGGAGGAAGGGCAGUAAGCGAAUACCUUGCUGUUUUGACGUUACCGACAGAAUAAGCACCGGCUAACUCUGUGCCAGCAGCCGCGGUAAUACAGAGGGUGCAAGCGUUAAUCGGAAUUACUGGGCGUAAAGCGCGCGUAGGUGGUUCGUUAAGUUGAAUGUGAAAGCCCCGGGCUCAACCUGGGAACUGCAUCCAAAACUGGCGAGCUAGAGUAGGGCAGAGGGUGGUGGAAUUUCCUGUGUAGCGGUGAAAUGCGUAGAUAUAGGAAGGAACACCAGUGGCGAAGGCGACCACCUGGGCUCAUACUGACACUGAGGUGCGAAAGCGCGGGGAGCAAACAGG
rnacentral:rRNA from 1 species